CUGAUCACGUGACACAUCCCUACCAGAAACAAGCGCUUGGCCCUCGCCAGUGCUUUGAAGGCACAGACAGACUCUCCACCCCAGCACACAAGCCUUGAAGCCGGGCUCCCAGGCUCCUACGUUUUGGACAUGGAGGCAUUUGUCUUUUCCUACCCUUUUACCAUUUUCUUCUUCCUCAGUUUACCCCAGGGUCCCCCCAAGAUGUCACUGAGCCUCUGGCACAGGGAGAAGGUCAUUUUUUCCAGAGUCCCCAGCUCUUACUGGCAAUACCCUCACUCGAAUGUAAGCUCCGUGGGGCAGGACUUUGUCUUGUCCACUAUGCUGGGCACACACACAGCUGUUUAAUGCGCACAUGUGCGUGAACAGCCCUCCACCUUGUCGACCGUCUCUGUAGAGGCGACCCUGGGGGUUGCGAGAUGGCUUUAACGCUCUUGAUCAGCUCCUGGUCUGUCUGGUUCUUUCCCCUGUGAUCUCCUGGGGGCAGAGAGCAUGAUCCCUUCACCUGCCCCGCCCCCAGCCCAGAGCUGUGCUCCCUGGGCUUGUAUUUUGAACAAAUGAAGGAGUAGCACCUACUGUGUCAGAGGAGCCCACAGGCCCAACAUGCCAUUCCUGUGCACUGCCCAGAACCCCCAACCGCGGGGGCCAGUCUGAGACCUGGGGACCUGCCGCUCUGCCCCAUUUGAUUUUCCAUUGGUCCUGCCCCAGCCCUCCUGUCCCAUCUUUUCUGAAAGCGAAAAUCUCAACUGAGUUGAAAGUGAAUUGUGGCCAGUUGGGUCGUGAAGGGAUGGAGACCUACUCUCCUACUAGGAAGAAUGUGUGUUUGCCUCUUGGCAGAGAGGAUAUUCCGACUGAUCAUUUUUUGCUCCGCCCCAGCUCUGGACGGAACUCCAGCCCCAGGCCCCACCCUGCAAGACAGAGAAGAAUGGUUUUAGGGGUGAGACGUCACUUUUCAAAUCCCUUCUCAAAGGCCACCUGCUCCUGGAGGUCCUUCUGGGUCCCCUGGGGAAAACCGCUGAGGGCUCUGGGCUCCCCCAGGGCAUCACUUACUCCUGCCCCGUCAUGUGUGACCCUGUGCUUGUACAGUCUGAUGGCCCUGUACCCACGAGUGUUCCUUCAGGAGGGGAUUAUGAGCUCUUCCUUUUUAUGUCCAUCUGUUCCUUUAACCAGCCAGGCUUUUAUUCUCUGCCCCGUCCUGGGCUAGGCACCGGGUGCACAGAGUUGAGUUAAAUGUGUGCCCUCCAGCGGCUGACGAUCUAGUGGGGGUCGGACGAUCACCCCUCACCACGCAGCAUGAUCAGAGCUCUAAGGGUGCCAGCACCGGGCUGUGACAGCAGAGAAAGCCCCUGACCAGCCCAGAAGGACACGCAGGUUGGGAAAUAAUUCUUAGAGGAAGUUGACAUCUGAGUGGGGUUUUCGAGGACGGAUAAGAGUCUGUGGAGCCGUAAAGAAGGGAAAGUGGUGUUCCGUCUGGCUGACGACAAGCAGCCCUGGACAGCCCCAUCACAUGAAGGGGCCCACAAAGCAUGCUAAGACAUUUCUUCUUUUUCUUGUUUACCUUUCCAAGGUACCAAAGAAGGGUUAGGCCAAUGUGUGAGACACAGAAGGUGUUGAGAAAGCAGAUGUGUGCCGUCCAUUCAGUUGGAUUUCUCCCUGCUGCCUCCUAACCCCCAUGAGAUUAGAAGCUUCUGGAUGCCAAGGUCCAGAUACUUGUGUGUAUUGGUGUGCAUCCCCAGAGCGAUGAACACAGUCAUGACACUUCACAGACACUCACUCAAUAUUUGCCUUGACCAACAAUUGCACGAUGCAUUGGGUUUGGCCAAGCACCCAUGACAUUGGGUAAUUUUACCUGCCCCACGCUUGCCAAUGUGCUAGGCAUUCUGUAUGUGCUACUCACCUGAUGUCAUUUGUCACCAGUAACAACACAACAAGAUUGAUAUGCCACCUCUAUUUUGCAGGUGAAGAAACUGAGGGUCAGGGGGCAACUGGUAGGUCUAUCUGACUGUGUGACUCUAAACUUCCACAUCGGUUCCCAUUUCACAGGUUAGACAAACUGAGCUCACCUCCCUUGCCCAGGUCGAGAAUAGUGAAUUCAGAAAAAAAGCCCCGAAGCAUGACUUGUUUGACUUGGCAGAGUGUCCAGCUCAAGAGAGUUGGGUACGCACGCAUUUCAUCACUUGCGACCCUUUCAUGGCGAAUCCUCCGGGGACCCAGCAGCUGACCAGCUCCAGCCGUUCAGGCUUGCUGAGGCCAAGCGGGCUCUGGCAGCCUCUGUCUGCCAAGGUCCUGGCCACCAGGGAGGGCCUGGCACCCUCUUGCACACCCCCUGUGCAGCCCUGACUUGGGGAAGACAACCUCCCAGCAAACUGCCUGAAGCGCAAGAGGUGAUAUUAAAGGCAUCCAAGUCGGCCCCCACCCCACCUGGAUCUACGAGGCCACAGGGCUGAGACUUGGCUUUGUCACAGUCCUGUCACCUAUGCCUCAGUUUCCACACCAAUGGAAGGGAAAAACCACAUGGACCUUCCUGGACGUUGGGAGGAUGAAGGGAAAUAGCAACAUCAACCAGCCCAGCUGCAUCAGAGACUCCUGAGGGCACCUUAAAAUGCAGGUUCCAAGGCCGGUCCUGCCAUCUGAUCCUGGGGCCCAGGGAGCUGUAUAUCUAAUGGACUCUGCAGCCACCGUGCACUCUGAAGACUCUUGCUCCAAACUCAAACCCCACGAAGAUCAAAAGAUCCCUGAAUUCAGGUUCCAAAGAGACACAGACGUUAUUGCAACAUCCUGACCCAUCUCGGACAUGAAUUCCAUUAAAGUUCCAUGAAAGAUAUCCCCAUCCUACAGAUGAGGAAACUGAGGCCCCUGAUGGUUAAAUAACUUGUCUGCAGUCGCACAGAAAGUGGCAGAGCUGAGUUGAUCCAUGAUCCAUCUGCCUCCCAAGAUCUUCGUAAGACACAACACCUCAUCCCAGGGAGCAAGUUGCUGAAGGAUGAAAAGAAAAAAUUCCACACUAGGGUAAAAAAAUGAUUCAGCAUCAGACCUUUCCUCCACAUUCCCAAAUGACAGACCCCAGUGGAGCCUUCUCCAUGGAACAGGAGAAGCAGUGACCCAAUAAUCUAUCCCUGCCAAGAAGCUGCUCAUUGAUGAAGCUAAGAAAAGGAAUUUUCAAAAGGCAAGGAGUUUGAAAGUAUAUCCUUCACUUGCCCUUGAGGAAUUAAACAGUGACCUUCAAAGAAGUUCUCUAGACAAGUAAAAACUCUAUCAAAAUACACAAAAACCAAAAAGAGUAUUGAUGUUAAAGAUAUAUAAUAUACAUUUAACCUCGCUAAUAAACAAGGAAAUGUAAGUUAAAAUAAAUGAGGCAUCAUGUUUGCCUAUUGAUAUGUUAAUUAUUUGUUUGAUUUAAGUUCAUAGUUGCUUAUCUGACAUUCCUGAAGUCAGAUGUGUCUGUAAAUUUAGAAAUUUUCAGAUUCUAGAAAGGAAUGUUAGUGCACAUGGGGAACAUUGGCAACCAUCCCACUAGGGUCUGAAUGUUGGUGUCACACAGAGCACCCUAGUCCCCUCCUCCAUGUGAGGACACAGUGAGAAGUCUGCAUCUUGUAAGAUGGCCUCCACCCAACCCUGCUGGCACCCUGAUCUCAGACUUCCA